UACGAAGGGGGCGAGCGUUGUUCGGAUUUACUGGGCGUAAAGAGCGCGCAGGCGGUCGUGCAAGUCGUGUGUGAAAGCCCCCGGCUCAACUGGGGAGGGUCACGCGAUACUGCUCGACUCGAAGGCAGGAGAGGGAAGUGGAAUUCCCGGUGUAGUGGUGAAAUGCGUAGAUAUCGGGAGGAACACCAGUGGCGAAGGCGACUUCCUGGCCUGUUCUUGACGCUGAGGCGCGAAAGCUAGGGUAGCAAACGGG
rnacentral:rRNA from 1 species